CAGUAGCCGCGGUAAUACGAGGGGGGCAAGCGUUGUUCGGAAUUAUUGGGCGUAAAGGGUGCGUAGGCGGUUUCGUAAGUCUGAUGUGAAAUCUAUGGGCUCAACCCAUAGUCUGCAUCGGAAACUGCGAGGCUUGAGAGUGGGAGAGGUGAGUGGAAUUUCCGGUGUAGCGGUGAAAUGCGUAGAUAUCGGAAGGAACACCUGUGGCGAAAGCGGCUCACUGGACCAUUUCUGACGCUGAUGCACGAAAGCUAGGGGAGCAAACAGGAUUAGAUACCCCGGUAGUCCCUGUCUCUUAUAC
rnacentral:rRNA from 1 species